rnacentral:rRNA from 1 species
AGUGCUAUCGCCAAAAAGAAUCGUGCCAAUGUAGUACCUCAUACAUCUGGCAGCAAGAGUCAUGCCCGUGUUGCCAAUGAAUUGGUUGUCAAACUUGGCCAUGAUCCUCGGAGAGAUGAAGUUUAUAUCGAAACACAUACAUGCAAGAAAGGGGAAAGGAAAGGGAUUUAUGUGCCGCAGGCAGAAACAACAAUUAAAGAACUCAUAGAGAAUGCUGAAAAGCACCCUGAAUGGAAGGAAAAGAGCAUUCAAGAAGGUGAUCUAUUUGCACGCGUAUGUGGAAUGAAGGAGCCCAGGGGUCGUGUCCGUGUGUUAGGUCUAGGUCCAACACCUCAAGAUUUGGGCACACCGGGUACACGGGGUAAAUUGAGCACAAGAGUUCUAGUUGAAAUGCAAGGGCGUCGAGAAGCUGAAAAUCGCUAUAACAUGCUCCAGGGGCAUGUGCAACAAAUGGAAGAAAGAAUGAACCGAAUGGAAUUGAUGUUAGCUUCACAAGGAAGGCAUAAUCUCGAAACUCCUAGCUCGCAGCAUGGUUCCAAUUCUCGACAAAACUCCGGAGCUGAAGCUAAGGAACAAAAUGACGCUGAAGAAGAUGUUGAACAGGAUGAUGAAGAGCCAUUUGUUCAAAGAAGAGUUGUUGCAAAGCCCCCUGCAAGAAGCUCAUCAACCUAUGAAGAUGAAAGC